AUUGAUUCAGGUAUAACGGAGAAGCCCGUGGUUCAGCCGGUAAUUGACACUGCAGUGGAUGCUGAAGUCCCAGCAAAUAGGGUUGAACUUGGAGAACUCGAAAAGUGAUGAGGAGCUGAACAGCCCUGGAAGAAGUAGCGAUGAAGAAUCUUUUUUUUUGGAAGCCGGAUGAAGAAUCUUUUUUUUGGGCCUCUUCUUUUUGUAAAUAAUAAAUAUGUUGCAUAUAUGUAAAGUUGUUUUGAGAAAGGUUUUGUUAUUUGAACUUUUGUUUAAUACGCUGGUACAAAUUUGUUUAGUUAUAGAGAGGCCAUGGGC
rnacentral:lncRNA from 1 species